rnacentral:rRNA from 2 species
CCUGGUGGUUCUAGCGAGGAGCCUCAACCCGAUCCCAUUCCGAACUCGGCCGUUAAACUCCUCAGCGCCGAUGGUACUAUGGCUCAAGCCCUGGGAGAGUA